rnacentral:rRNA from 1 species
GAAGGUGGCCUGUGAGGGUUGCUGGAGGUAUCAGAAGUGCGAAUGCUGACAUAAGUAACGAUAAAGCGGGUGAAAAGCCCGCUCGCCGGAAGACCAAGGGUUCCUGUCCAACGUUAAUCGGGGCAGGGUGAGUCGACCCCUAAGGCGAGGCCGAAAGGCGUAGUCGAUGGGAAACGGGUUAAUAUUCCCGUACUUGGUGUUACUGCGAAGGGGGGACGGAGAAGGCUAUGUUGGCCGGGCGACGGUUGUCCCGGUUUAAGCGUGUAGGUGUGUGUUCCAGGUAAAUCCGGUUCACUUUAACACUGAGGCGUGAUGACGAGGCACUACGGUGCUGAAGCAACAAAUGCCCUGCUUCCAGGAAAAGCCUCUAAGCAUCAGGUAACAUCAAAUCGUACCCCAAACCGACACAGGUGGUCAGGUAGAGAAUACCAAGGCGCUUGAGAGAACUCGGGUGAAGGAACUAGGCAAAAUGGUGCCGUAACUUCGGGAGAAGGCACGCUGACAUGUAGGUGAAGUGAUUUACUCACGGAGCUGAAGUCAGUCGAAGAUACCAGCUGGCUGCAACUGUUUAUUAAAAACACAGCACUGUGCAAACACGAAAGUGGACGUAUACGGUGUGACGCCUGCCCGGUGCCGGAAGGUUAAUUGAUGGGGUCAGCGCAAGCGAAGCUCCUGAUCGAAGCCCCGGUAAACGGCGGCCGUAACUAUAACGGUCCUAAGGUAGCGAAAUUCCUUGUCGGGUAAGUUCCGACCUGCACGAAUGGCGUAAUGAUGGCCAGGCUGUCUCCACCCGAGACUCAGUGAAAUUGAACUCGCUGUGAAGAUGCAGUGUACCCGCGGCAAGACGGAAAGACCCCGUGAACCUUUACUAUAGCUUGACACUGAACAUUGAGCCUUGAUGUGUAGGAUAGGUGGGAGGCUUUGAAGUGUGGACGCCAGUCUGCAUGGAGCCGACCUUGAAAUACCACCCUUUAAUGUUUGAUGUUCUAACGUGGACCCGUAAUCCGGGUUGCGGACAGUGUCUGGUGGGUAGUUUGACUGGGGCGGUCUCCUCCUAAAGAGUAACGGAGGAGCACGAAGGUUGGCUAAUCCUGGUCGGACAUCAGGAGGUUAGUGCAAUGGCAUAAGCCAGCUUGACUGCGAGCGUGACGGCGCGAGCAGGUGCGAAAGCAGGUCAUAGUGAUCCGGUGGUUCUGAAUGGAAGGGCCAUCGCUCAACGGAUAAAAGGUACUCCGGGGAUAACAGGCUGAUACCGCCCAAGAGUUCAUAUCGACGGCGGUGUUUGGCACCUCGAUGUCGGCUCAUCACAUCCUGGGGCUGAAGUAGGUCCCAAGGGUAUGGCUGUUCGCCAUUUAAAGUGGUACGCGAGCUGGGUUUAGAACGUCGUGAGACAGUUCGGUCCCUAUCUGCCGUGGGCGCUGGAGAACUGAGGGGGGCUGCUCCUAGUACGAGAGGACCGGAGUGGACGCAUCACUGGUGUUCGGGUUGUCAUGCCAAUGGCACUGCCCGGUAGCUAAAUGCGGAAGAGAUAAGUGCUGAAAGCAUCUAAGCACGAAACUUGCCCCGAGAUGAGUUCUCCCUGAGACUU